AGAACGAACGCUGGCGGCAUGCUUAACACAUGCAAGUCGAACGAACCCUUCGGGGGUUAGUGGCGCACGGGUGCGUAACGCGUGGGAAUCUGCCCUUUGCUACGGAAUAACAGUGAGAAAUUACUGCUAAUACCGUAUGAUGUCCGAAAGACCAAAGAUUUAUCGGCAAGGGAUGAGCCCGCGUAGGAUUAGCUUGUGGUGAGGUAAAGCUCACCAAGGCGACGAUCCUUAGCUGGUCUGAGAGGAUGAUCAGCCACACUGGGACUGAGACACGGCCAGACCUCCGUACGGAGCAGCAGUGGGAAUAGUAGGACAAGUGGGACGAAAGCCGUAGACGUACCAAGGCAAGUCGCCGUCGGUGAGGU
rnacentral:rRNA from 1 species